AUUGAACGCUGGCGGCAUGCUUUACACAUGCAAGUCGAACGGUAACAGGUUAAGCUGACGAGUGGCGAACGGGUGAGUAAUGCAUCGGAACGUGCCCAGUCGUGGGGGAUAACGCAGCGAAAGUUGCGCUAAUACCGCAUACGAUCUGAGGAUGAAAGCGGGGGACCGUAAGGCCUCGCGCGAUCGGAGCGGCCGAUGUCAGAUUAGGUAGUUGGUGGGGUAAAGGCUCACCAAGCCAACGAUCUGUAGCUGGUCUGAGAGGACGACCAGCCACACUGGGACUGAGACACGGCCCAGACUCCUACGGGAGGCAGCGGUGGGGAAUUUUGGACAAUGGGCGAAAGCCUGAUCCAGCAAUGCCGCGUGCAGGAAGAAGGCCUUCGGGUUGUAAGCUGCUUUUGUACGGAGCGAAAAGGUCUCCUCUAAUACAGGGGGCUCAUGACGGUACCGUAAGAAUAAGCACCGGCUAACUACGUGCCAGCCGCCGCCGUAA
rnacentral:rRNA from 1 species